AGAGAAACUCCAUAUUUGACUAGAUCCAUAUUUGACUAGAAAUAUGGAAUUUAGUCAAAUAUGGAGUUUAGUA
rnacentral:miRNA from 1 species